rnacentral:rRNA from 1 species
CAGCCCUUGGCGUCCCGGUCGCGGUUUCCAGAGAUGGAUUCCUUCAGUUCGGCUGGACCGGAGACAGGUGCUGCAUGGCUGUCGUCAGCUCGUGUCGUGAGAUGUUGGGUUAAGUCCCGCAACGAGCGCAACCCCCGCCCUUAGUUGCUACCAUUUAGUUGAGCACUCUAAGGAGGCUGCCGGUGAUAAGCCGCGAGGAAGGUGGGGAUGACGUCAAGUCCUCAUGGCCCUUACGGGCUGGGCUACACACGUGCUACAAUGGCGGUGACAAUGGGACGCUAAGGGGCAACCCUUCGCAAAUCUCAAAAAGCCGUCUCAGUUCGGAUUGGGCUCUGCAACUCGAGCCCAUGAAGUUGGAAUCGCUAGUAAUCGUGGAUCAGC